CACUCCUACGGGAGGCAGCAGUGGGGAAUAUUGGACAAUGGGCGCAAGCCUGAUCCAGCCAUGCCGCGUGAGUGAUGAAGGCCCUAGGGUUGUAAAGCUCUUUCACCGGUGAAGAUAAUGACGGUAACCGGAGAAGAAGCCCCGGCUAACUUCGUGCCAGCAGCCGCGGUAAUACGAAGGGGGCUAGCGUUGUUCGGAUUUACUGGGCGUAAAGCGCACGUAGGCGGACUAUUAAGUCAGGGGUGAAAUCCCGGGGCUCAACCCCGGAACUGCCUUUGAUACUGGUAGUCUUGAGUUCGAGAGAGGUGAGUGGAAUUCCGAGUGUAGAGGUGAAAUUCGUAGAUAUUCGGAGGAACACCAGUGGCGAAGGCGGCUCACUGGCUCGAUACUGACGCUGAGGUGCGAAAGCGUGGGGAGCAAACAGGAUUAGAAACCCUAGUAGUCCCAUGAU
rnacentral:rRNA from 1 species